UACGGAAGGGGCAAGCGUUGUUCGGAAUCAUUGGGCGUAAAGGGCGCGUAGGUGGUUCUGUAUGUCUAUCGUGAAAGCGUACGGCUCAACCGUAUUUUGUCGGUAGAAACUGCAGGACCUGAGGCUGGGAGGGGCUGGUGGAAUUCCCUGUGUAGCGGUGAAAUGCGUAGAGAUGGGGGAGAACACUCGUGGCGAAGGCGGCCAGCUAGACCAGUUCUGACACUGAGGCGCGACAGAGUGGGGAGCAAACAGG
rnacentral:rRNA from 1 species